rnacentral:lncRNA from 1 species
GAGAAACUGAACCUAUGGGAUGCAUGAAUGUGCACACAUGUGUGGAAGUGUGGGCCCCCAGGAAGGUGCGGACUCCCGAGGGCUCACUCCGUCGCCUCCCCCAGCAGCAGGCAAAAGGAAGCAGUGUCCAUGUUCUCUACUCCACCCCCGCUUGUUACCUCUGGGAGCUGAACAAGGCCAACCUCACCUGGUAUUUGGGGAAACUGGGGAGCUUGGGGGGGUUGGCAUGCCCCGUGGGUCAUGACCCUGCCCUCAAUGCCCCUGCCGCUGUAGGUCAGUGAAACAUGACGACUUCUUCCCUUACGCGGAUGGCCCCCACCAGUUCUGGACCGGUUACUUUUCCAGUCGGCCGGCCCUCAAACGCUACGAGCGCCUCAGCUACAACUUCCUGCAGGUGUGCAACCAGCUGGAGGCGCUGGUGGGCCUGGCGGCCAACGUGGGACCCUAUGGCUCCGGAGACAGUGCACCCCUCAAUGAGGCGAUGGCUGUGCUCCAGCAUCACGACGCCGUCAGCGGCACCUCCCGCCAGCACGUGGCCAACGACUACGCGCGCCAGCUUGCGGCAGGCUGGGGG